GAGCGCGCUUAUUGAAUACUAAAUCAAACUCAACAGGUCUGACUG
rnacentral:ncRNA from 2 species